rnacentral:rRNA from 1 species
GAUGAACGCUGGCGGCGUGCUUAACACAUGCAAGUCGAACGGAAAGGCCCAAGCUUGCUUGGGUACUCGAGUGGCGAACGGGUGAGUAACACGUGGGUGAUCUGCCCUGCACUUCGGGAUAAGCCUGGGAAACUGGGUCUAAUACUGGAUAGGACCACUUCUUGGAUGGUGUGGUGGAAAGUUUUUUCGGUGUGGGAUGAGCUCGCGGCCUAUCAGCUUGUUGGUGGGGUAAUGGCCUACCAAGGCGUCGACGGGUAGCCGGCCUGAGAGGGUGUACGGCCACAUUGGGACUGAGAUACGGCCCAGACUCCUACGGGAGGCAGCAGUGGGGAAUAUUGCACAAUGGGCGCAAGCCUGAUGCAGCGACGCCGCGUGGGGGAUGACGGCCUUCGGGUUGUAAACUCCUUUCGCUAGGGACGAAGCGUUUUUGUGACGGUACCUAGAGAAGAAGCACCGGCUAACUACG